UCCAGACUCCUACGGGAGGCAGCAGUGAGGAAUAUUGGUCAAUGGGCGGAAGCCUGAACCAGCCAAGUCGCGUGAGGGAAUAAGGCCCUACGGGUCGUAAACCUCUUUUGCCGGGGAGCAAGGGCGGGGACGUGUCCCGGCCCGGAGAGUACCCGGAGAAAAAGCAUCGGCUAACUCCGUGCCAGCAGCCGCGGUAAUACGGAGGAUGCGAGCGUUAUCCGGAUUUAUUGGGUUUAAAGGGUGCGCAGGCGGAUUUGUAAGUCAGCGGUCAAAUCGUGGGGCUCAACCCCAUCCAGCCGUUGAAACUGGGUGCCUUGAGUGGGCGAGAAGUACGCGGAAUGCGUGGUGUAGCGGUGAAAUGCAUAGAUAUCACGCAGAACUCCGAUUGCGAAGGCAGCGUACCGGCGCCCAACUGACGCUGAAGCACGAAGGCGUGGGUAUCGAACAGGAUUAGAUCCCCUUGUA
rnacentral:rRNA from 1 species